GGCAUCCUAAGCGGGUGAGGGAGUGGGUGCAAAUUGAUUGUCAUAUGUGAUGGCAAUUCUACCUUAUGUAAGAAUCCUUCUUUCAUGAGUAUUGGACUGAUUCAAAUCAGAUUUGAGUUAGGACUCCUAUACUUAUUAGGUUAUAAGAAUCAUCUAUAAAUAAAAAGAGUCUCUACCUAUAGAUGCAUAGUAAACAAAUCAGAUUGAGAGAAGAGAGAAAGA
rnacentral:lncRNA from 1 species